rnacentral:rRNA from 1 species
GACGAACGCUGGCGGCGUGCCUAAUACAUGCAAGUAGAACGCUGAAGGAGGAGCUUGCUCUUCUGGAUGAGUUGCGAACGGGUGAGUAACGCGUAGGUAACCUGCCUGGUAGCGGGGGAUAACUAUUGGAAACGAUAGCUAAUACCGCAUAACAGUAGAUGUUGCAUGACAUUUGCUUAAAAGGUGCAAUUGCAUCACUACCAGAUGGACCUGCGUUGUAUUAGCUAGUUGGUGGGGUAACGGCUCACCAAGGCGACGAUACAUAGCCGACCUGAGAGGGUGAUCGGCCACACUGGGACUGAGACACGGCCCAGACUCCUACGGGAGGCAGCAGUAGGGAAUCUUCGGCAAUGGACGGAAGUCUGACCGAGCAACGCCGCGUGAGUGAAGAAGGUUUUCGGAUCGUAAAGCUCUGUCGUAAGAGAAGAACGAGUGUGAGAGUGGAAAGUUCACACUGUGACGGUAUCUUACCAGAAAGGGACGGCUAACUACGUG